AGAUACUGAAGGGGAUGGCUGUGUGACUGCCGUGAUGGAGUUGGCUUUUGAAUGUCAAUUGCACCCCGUUAACGUGCAGCUCUUUCUGACCCAGGCAGGAGCCGGGCAGCGGUACUGCAGCUCGUCUGGCAGCUUUGCAGCUCAGUUGGGAAGUAGAAGAUGUGGCUGUGAAAGAAGAAGUCAGUUGCUGGGACGUCCCCCUGUUCUUCCCCUAGCUGUCCCCUUGCCUCAGCCUGGAUUCCCCUUGCAUUCCUGUAGGAUUCCCUUCCAUCCUCCUGGUUGUCCCUUGCUUUCCCCAAGGUUGCUCUUUCCUUUCCCAUGACAGCCCACCCAUCAUUCCCUCAAAGCCCCAAUAUCCACCC
rnacentral:lncRNA from 1 species